rnacentral:rRNA from 1 species
AUUGAACGCUGGCGGCAUGCCUUACACAUGCAAGUCGAACGGCAGCACGGGAGUAAUCCUGGUGGCGAGUGGCGAACGGGUGAGUAACAUAUCGGAACGUGCCCAGGCGUGGGGGAUAACGCAGCGAAAGCUGUGCUAAUACCGCAUACGAUCUACGGAUGAAAGCGGGGGAUCGCAAGACCUUGCGCGAUUGGAGCGGCCGAUAUCAGAUUAGCUAGUUGGUGGGGUAAAGGCCCACCAAGGCGACGAUCUGUAGCUGGUCUGAGAGGACGACCAGCCACACUGGAACUGAGACACGGUCCAGACUCCUACGGGAGGCAGCAGUGGGGAAUUUUGGACAAUGGGCGCAAGCCUGAUCCAGCAAUGCCGCGUGCAGGAUGAAGGCCUUCGGGUUGUAAACUGCUUUUGUACGGAACGAAACGGCUCCUUCUAAUACAAGGGGCUAAUGACGGUACCGUAAGAAUAAGCACCGGCUAACUACGUGCCAGCAGCCGCGGUAAAAC